rnacentral:rRNA from 1 species
UACGUAGGGCGCAAGCGUUGUCCGGAAUUAUUGGGCGUAAAGAGCUCGUAGGCGGUUUGUCGCGUCUGCUGUGAAAACCUAAGGCUCAACCUUGGGCUUGCAGUGGGUACGGGCAGACUAGAGUGCGGUAGGGGUGACUGGAAUUCCUGGUGUAGCGGUGGAAUGCGCAGAUAUCAGGAGGAACACCGAUGGCGAAGGCAGGUCACUGGGCCGCAACUGACGCUGAGGAGCGAAAGCGCGGGGAGCGAACAGG